UAUGUUAAAAGUUUAUCAUGUUGCAAUAUAUUUUUUUGAAUUAUAAGUAACAAAAACUAGACCUUCAGGUCUUGUUAAUCUAAAAAUUCCUCUAACAAUUUAUAUAGUGUUACAAUUUUUUUCAACUUUUAGAAGACAAGUUUUAUGGGAAUUGGAAAUUCUGGAUGAAGAUGGUGAGUGCUAUUGGAACAAUGAAGAUCAAAAG
rnacentral:lncRNA from 1 species